AGUGAACGCUGGCGGUAGGCCUAACACAUGCAAGUCGAACGGCAGCACAGUAAGAGCUUGCUCUUACGGGUGGCGAGUGGCGGACGGGUGAGGAAUACAUCGGACUCUACUUUUUCGUGGGGGAUAACGUAAGGAAACUUACGCUAAUACCGCAUACGACCUACGGGUGAAAGCAGGGGAUCUUCGGACCUUGCGCGAUUGAAUGAGCCGAUGUCGGAUUAGCUAGUUGGCGGGGUAAAGGCCCACCAAGGCGACGAUCCGUAGCUGGUCUGAGAGGAUGAUCGGCCACACGGGAACUGAGACAGGGUCCAGACUCCUACGGGAGGCAGCAGUGGGGAAUAUUGGACAAUGGGCGCAAGCCUGAUCCAGCCAUACCGCGUGGGUGAAGAAGGCCUUCGGGUUGUAAAGCCCUUUUGUUGGGAAAGAAAAGCAGCAGGUUAAUACCCCGCUGUUCUGACGGUACCCAAAGAAUAAGCACCGGCUAACUUCGUG
rnacentral:rRNA from 1 species